rnacentral:rRNA from 1 species
AGUGAACGCUGGCGGUAGGCCUAACGCAUGCAAGUCGAACGGCAGCACAGUAAGAGCUUGCUCUUACGGGUGGCGAGUGGCGGACGGGUGAGGAAUACAUCGGAAUCUACUUUUUCGUGGGGGAUAACGUAGGGAAACUUACGCUAAUACCGCAUACGACCUACGGGUGAAAGCAGGGGAUCUUCGGACCUUGCGCGAUUGAAUGAGCCGAUGUCGGAUUAGCUAGUUGGCGGGGUAAAGGCCCACCAAGGCGACGAUCCGUAGCUGGUCUGAGAGGAUGAUCAGCCACACUGGAACUGAGACACGGUCCAGACUCCGACGGGAGGCAGCAGUGGGGAAUAUUGGACAAUGGGCGCAAGCCUGAUCCAGCCAUACCGCGUGGGUGAAGAAGGCCUUCGGGUUGUAAAGCCCUUUUGUUGGGAAAGAAAAGCAGCAGGUUAAUACCCCGCUGUUCUGACGGUACCCAAAGAAUAAGCACCGGCUAACUUCGU